CAGUAGCCGCGGUAAUACAGAGGGUGCGAGCGUUAAUCGGAUUUACUGGGCGUAAAGCGUGCGUAGGCGGCUAAUUGAGUCGGAUGUGAAAUCCCCGAGCUUAACUUGGGAAUUGCAUUCGAUACUGGUUAGCUAGAGUGUGGGAGAGGAUGGUAGAAUUCCAGGUGUAGCGGUGAAAUGCGUAGAGAUCUGGAGGAAUACCGAUGGCGAAGGCAGCCAUCUGGCCUAACACUGACGCUGAGGUACGAAAGCAUAGGGAGCAAACAGGAUUAGAUACCCGAGUAGUCCCUGUCUCUUAUAC
rnacentral:rRNA from 1 species